UAACCGACCUCUUUUGUGCAUGUUUAAAACAGCACAUUAGCUCAAGUGUUGGGGCUCCAAAGGUUAAAGUGGACGUUGGAGCUUGAAGGCUGCAUAUAUUCAAGAAGUUGGAAAGACGUUUGGAGACUUAAGGAUUCUGCUAUGAGAUUUAAGAAACAAUGAAAUUUGUACUCAUCAACAAGAUAACAACUCCAGCUCCAGCAUUUUGUGCAGCUACAAUGACUGGUAACUAAAAGUUUGGAUCAACUCCAACAUUUUGUACAAUGACAAUUGGAGCAGCCACUUUUUAUGCCUACUUCAGCAACAACUUUUGCUGACUUAGAACUAAACCUUUUGUAAAGCUACAACUGAAGCAGCCAACCUUGUUGUACAACUAGCAUUUCUGAACCAACUCCAGUGGCAACUUUUUUAUGUUAACCUGUUUUUUUAAUACACUUUUGUUAGAUUAACCUUUGG